rnacentral:rRNA from 1 species
AUUGAACGCUGGCGGAAUGCUUUACACAUGCAAGUCGAACGGCAGCACGGGGCAACCUGGUGGCGAGUGGCGAACGGGUGAGUAAUAUAUCGGAACGUGCCCAAUCGUGGGGGAUAACGUAGCGAAAGUUACGCUAAUACCGCAUACGAUCUACGGAUGAAAGCGGGGGAUCGCAAGACCUCGCGCGAAUGGAGCGGCCGAUGUCAGAUUAGGUAGUUGGUGGGGUAAAGGCUCACCAAGCCAACGAUCUGUAGCUGGUCUGAGAGGACGACCAGCCACACUGGAACUGAGACACGGUCCAGACUCCUACGGGAGGCAGCAGUGGGGAAUUUUGGACAAUGGGCGCAAGCCUGAUCCAGCCAUUCCGCGUGCAGGAUGAAGGCCUUCGGGUUGUAAACUGCUUUGUACGGAACGAAACGGCGAGCUCUAAUACAUUUGCUAAUGACGGUACCGUAAGAAUAAGCACCGGCUAACUACGUGCCAGCAGCCGCGGU